rnacentral:tRNA from 1 species
UGCAGCGUAGCUUAAUGGACAAAGCGCCAAGCUCAUACCUUGGUCAUUGCGGGUUCAACUCCCGCCGCUGCGA